rnacentral:rRNA from 1 species
ACCAACCGGGAUUGCCUUAGUAACGGCGAGUGAAGCGGCAAAAGCUCAAAUUUGAAAUCUGGUACCUUCGGUGCCCGAGUUGUAAUUUGGAGAGGGCAACUUUGGGGCCGUUCCUUGUCUAUGUUCCUUGGAACAGGACGUCAUAGAGGGUGAGAAUCCCGUGUGGCGAGGAGUGCGGUUCUUUGUAAAGUGCCUUCGAAGAGUCGAGUUGUUUGGGAAUGCAGCUCUAAGUGGGUGGUAAAUUCCAUCUAAAGCUAAAUAUUGGCGAGAGACCGAUAGCGAACAAGUACAGUGAUGGAAAGAUGAAAAGAACUUUGAAAAGAGAGUGAAAAAGUACGUGAAAUUGUUGAAAGGGAAGGGCAUUUGAUCAGACAUGGUGUUUUGUGCCCUCUGCUCCUUGUGGGUAGGGGAAUCUCGCAUUUCACUGGGCCAGCAUCAGUUUUGGUGGCAGGAUAAAUCCAUAGGAAUGUAGCUUGCCUCGGUAAGUAUUAUAGCCUGUGGGAAUACUGCCAGCUGGGACUGAGGACUGCGACGUAAGUCAAGGAUGCUGGCAUAAUGGUU